GUCUGUGCUUACUGCCCUACUGGUUUUAAAGUAAAACCACUCGCUCGUGAUUCCGGACGGCGAGCGAAUCGGAAAACUACCGGGGAAAAUACGCAUGUGUAAAAAAUCAAAAAAAAAUGAAAAUUAAAACUUAAGAAAAUAAAAUUUAAUGUGACUUAACUCAAACUUAAAAGUGGCGAAACGAAAUGUGUAAAAAAAUAAGAUCAGUGAACCUAACUCAGAAAGUGCCCUGUGUUUCGAAUUCUAAAGGAAAGUCAAAAAAAAAUACUUGCAUGUACAUAUCUGUCGAACGGAAAAGAAACCAAAAGUAUAAAUUCGAAUGUCCGUCUGGCUAUGGCAUACAUGUGAGCAUAGGUAUAUAUGUAGUACAUGCUGAAUGCAAUGCAAAAAAAAAUUCAAAAAAAACUAUUGUGUUGAACCAAAUUAUGCAAAUAAAAAAACCAUGUGCUAAGAAAAAAACAAAACCUAGAAAAAAUCGGGAAUUGAAUUCAUGCCCGUAAAGGUCGGGGAUGGCAAACCCGAAGAAAGCGGAAUAACUAAGAAGGAAUGCAAAAAUCAAUUAAAAUAAAGCAAGAUGAACAGAAAAAACGAUGGAACUAAAUCAAUGCCGCCUGUGCUGCCGCUAUCACUCGCUGAGGGUUUGCCAUACGAGCGGUACGAGUCGCGCGAGUGCACAAAUAGUGCAUCAACUGUUUGGCAACAUCGCACAUCACAGGUGCGUGCAACUGAGCAGACAGCUGCCAUCAAUGUGGGAAGGCGCACCAUAUGCUGUUGCACCGCUCUACGUCGCCGGUCCCUGAACGCAAUCGCCGCGAGGAUGGGCAUAUGUCAGUCCGCAGUGGACGAACCACACUCCCCAGUCGCGUGGUAAAGAAAUCCAGGAAGCAGGGGUAUGGCGACAGCCACCCCGUUCAACAGCGCAUCCACAACCUUUUCAACAGGGCUGUGCUGAUAUUGCAAAAAGCUACAAGAGCUGCUUCACCUCGCACCGGUGCAGGCGGGCCGACAUGUCGAGGACAUCGAGUUCGAUUAGAUUGAAUUUUCCUUUCUUUGUAAAAUGCGUGCGACCGGCAACAUCAUUUUGCUAUUGUGAAUUUACAUUUGAAAAAUGCUUUGUAAGAGCAGAGAACUUAGAUAGAUAGAGAAGGUGCAAAUUUUUGGAACG